rnacentral:rRNA from 1 species
AACGAACGCUGGCGGCAUGCCUAACACAUGCAAGUCGAACGAGAUCCUUCGGGGUCUAGUGGCGCACGGGUGCGUAACGCGUUGGAAUCUGCCCUUAGGUUCGGAAUAACAGUUAGAAAUGACUGCUAAUACCGGAUGAUGACGUUAAGUCCAAAGAUUUAUCGCCUGAGGAUGAGCCCGCGUAGGAUUAGCUAGUUGGUGUGGUAAAGGUGCACCAAGGCGACGAUCCUUAGCUGGUCUGAGAGGAUGAUCAGCCACACUGGGACUGAGACACGGCCCAGACUCGUACGGGAGGCAGCAGUGGGGAAUAUUGGAGGAGGGGCGCAAGCCUGACCAAGCAAUGCCGCGUGAGUGAGGAAGGCCUUAGUGUUGUAAAGCCCUUUUACCCGAGAUGAUAAUGACAGUAACGGGUGAAUAAGCCCCGGCUAACUCCGUG